GCCAGGCUCAGUGGCAAGUCCCUGUAGUCCCAGCUACUCGGGAGGCGGAGGCUGGAGUAUUGCUUGAGUCCAGGAGUUCUGGGCUGUAGUGUGCUAUGCCGAUUAGGUGUCCACACUAAGUUCGGCAUCAAUAUGGUGACCUCCCGGGAGCAGGGGACCAUCAGGUGGCCUAAGGAGGGGUAAACCGGCCUAGGUCGGAAAUGGAGCAGGUCAAAACUCCCACACUGAUCAGUAGUGAGAUGGGGCCUGUGAAUAGCUACUGCACUCCAGCCUGGGCAACAUAGUGAGACCCCAUCUCUU
rfam:Callithrix jacchus chromosome 16, whole genome shotgun sequence